ensembl:lncRNA
UCACAAGAACAGAUUGCACCCCUCACCCUGUAGAGUCCUCUUAAAUGCUGCCACGGCUGCUGGGCAUUCAGGAAUGUAAACAGCUCCAUCCAAAAGUUAUUCCUAGUACCGGGAAAAAAGUCUUUCCCAGAUUCACAGCGUCUUGAUUAUGUACACUCUUUGCAGGAUGAAAAACAUCCUGGGCCAAGAGUUAGGAGGCACAGUUUCCUAUCUUUCUCCAUGAUCAGCUAGUUGUGCCUUAGUUUGCUCAUUGGUAAAUGGUGGAGUUGCUUGAAUUGGAAGGUGUCUUCUAGCCUGUAGGCUUCACGAUUCUCAAGGGCAGUGUUCUCUGUCCCAUAAAUGUUUAGGUGAAGGGCAGCAGGGUGAGUAGCUGGUGCCUCAGCUUUGCUAGGGUCGCAGGCUUGUGUCUAACACAAUUACACCUGGAGCACCUCCUCCUCCAGUUUGGUGGGAAUCUUAAGCCACAGAGAUUCAGGUUUACCUUAUAUUUGAACAAUAAUCUCAUUGUCUAAACCUGGGACACUUUUGAGAGUGAAAGAGGGUUCUCUUAAGAAUUGUGUCAGAACACUGGAGAUAUAGAAGCCUGCCUGCAAAAUCUCAUUUAAGAUGGCAAGCGAUAUGGAGGAGUCCAAAGGAAAAUUCCUUGGUCUGUUUUAUGUGCAGUCACAAUAUGACCUGAGGUAACUUGGAGAAAUUUAAUAUCUCCCCAGAUUGUAUGAGGCCAGAAACUCCAGGAUUGUAUUUGAUCCUAAUUCCACACUGUCAUAUAUAAGGGGAAAUGGCACAAAUCAGUUCUACCGUAUCACCAGCCAACCUAUUUUCUGAUGAGAAGGACAAUCCUUUGUUUUGGAGGAGUUUAUAAAGUGGAAUUUAUUUUACUCGACUCCUUCUUUGAUUGAAAUAUUGUCAACUUAACAAAAUAGUGAAAGAGCAUUGGCCUGGAGUCAGAAGACUUGAAUUCUCAUCCUAGAUCUGCUACUAACUAGCUGUUUGACCCUGAGAAGUCACUUUACCAGAAUUACAGUCUUUCUCUGAGAUGAGGAAAGUGGAGUAGAUAUGUCACUUGAGGUCCCUCCCAAGUGCUAAGAUUCUAUGACUCCACGAAUUCAGACUAUCAGAGGAGAACACUGCAGCGUUCUUCUACAUAGGUUGUAAAUGAGUCCGCUUGGCUUUUGGCCUGUCUCUCUCCUUGUUGUAAGAUGGCUAUAUUUUGAGAUACUUGCCGUUGAGAUACAGUCACUAUGUGGGAGGAAACCCAGGUGGCAUGGAGAGGCCACAUGUAGGUGUUGUAACCGACAGCUCGUUAAGUUCUAGCGGAAGCCAGCAUCAACCUGCAGAGUGAAUGAACCUUCGAUUGAGCUCAACUCCCAGCCCCAGAGUCUUCCAGUUUAGGCCUCAGAUAUCACAGAGAAGAGACAAACCAUCCCCCUAUGCUGUGCUGAAUUCCUGAGCCACAGAAACCUGAGAGAUGUUAAAUGAUUAUUGCUUUAAGUCACUGAAAUUUGAACUAAUUUGUUAUGCAGCAAUAGAUAACUUUUGCUAUAUGCUUCAUUGUUCAUGUGCAAUCGGUCGAGGAAGAUGGGGGAGGGCAGAGAGACUAUGAGAAACUAUCCCUUGCUAUGGAGUAACCAUCUUCCCCUUCAGUCUGAAUGAGCCAACUUAGGUCUCAUACCCACUCGCAGACCAAUAGCAGCUAUCAGAGAAAGUCAUGCAUUGGUUGGCCUGGAAUACUUGGGAUCUCCCCUCUCAAGCUGGGCAUAGAGCCAGCUUCCCUGGCGUCAUGUGAGCUGACUAGGGGUUAGUUACAGACCUGAGCCAAAUAUAGUUAAAAAGGAGAAAAGGGAAAUGAAAGGUGAGCUAGAGGAAAUGAGGUUCACUACAUGCAGGUAAAAAAUGAUUCACAGAUGUUAAAGUAACACUGAUGAGAUUACUGCGUUAAUAUAGAAUAAAAAUUGAAUGACAAAGAGACCAUUUAGUAUUUAAGCAUAAUCAGUAUUUAUAGAAUGUCUUCUGUAUAAAAGUCACUGUAUUAUGAAUUCCAGGGAGUCAGUGAUUAGUCAGACGUGGAGCUUGCUCUCAAAGAGCUUAUGCUAUAGUUGUUUGGUGAAAAGUGAAAGCGAAAUACAGAUUGAGCGACAGGGGAGCUCAGAGAGGAGGGAGAUUGCUUCAACUCAGGACAGUCAGGGAGGGCUUUUUGGAGGAGCUGGCAUUUGACCUGAGAAUGAGUCAGAUUUGCAUCUAUGGAGAACAAUAGGGAAGGGAUUCCAAGCAGAAGGAACAGCACAAGCAAAGGCAUGGAGAUAGGAAACCUAUAGAUAAAGUCUGAGAACAUCAGAGACAAAUCAGAAAAUAAUAAUAACAAGUGGUGCCUCUUACUAUGAGAUAUAGAGACUUCUUAUAGAGCUUUAAUAAUUAAAGGACUUUGUGUGGCAUUGGCACAGAAAGAGACAAAAAGAACAAAUGAACAAAUAAGUGAGGAACAAGCUAACCAAUCAAAAACUGGAACAGAGAGCAUAGGAACAUCCCCACAUGUAUAUGGAAACUUGGUGUGUAAUAGAGGGCAUUGCAUUUCAGAAGGGAAAAGAAAGACUGUUCAAUCAAUGGUGCAGAACAAUUAUCCAAAGAGAUGGAAAAAGAUACGAUUAGGUCCCCAUCUCAUACCACACACAAAAAUUAAUUCCAG